rnacentral:lncRNA from 1 species
GCAGUUUCCCAGACAUAGCUUUUUAGGGGGAUGGGGUUGGGGGAAAAUUCAAUUUACUACAGAUGAAAAUCACAUAACUUGUUUCAGAGAGUUGUCAUGAGAAGUCCCUGAAACAAGGUGUGUGAGGCAGCCUGCCCCAGAGUGGGUGGGUGUUAAAUGUUAGUUUUCUCCUCUGCUUCUCCCUCUGUCCUCAAAAGGGUUUAGCACUACUAAUUCACAAUGAAGUGUCUGGGGCCAAAGGGUUUCUUCUCCCACCCUACCUCCACUGGAGAGAAUUUCAUUUUAAUGAGGAGUCAGGGGACUGUUGAGAGAGAACUUAAUGUCCAAAGAAGUCCCCAAGGAGCCACAUGCUGCUUGAAUUAUGUAAAG